GAUGAAGAACGCAGCGAAAUGCGAUAAGUGAUGUGAAUUGCAGAAUUCAGUGAAUCAUCGAAUCUUUGAACGCACAUUGCGCCCGCCAGUAUUCUGGCGGGCAUGCCUGUCCGAGCGUCAUUUCAACCAUCAAGCCCCCGGGCUUGUGUUGGGGACCUGCGGCUGCCCGCAGGCCCUGAAAACCAGUGGCGGGCUCGCUGUCACACCGAGCGUAGUAGCAAUCACCUCGCUCAGGGCGUGCUGCGGGUUCCGGCCGUUAAACAGCCUUACAAAACCCAAGGUUGACCUCGGAUCAGGUAGGAAGACCCGCUGAACUUAAGCAUAUCAAUAAGCGGAGGA
rnacentral:misc_RNA from 1 species